rnacentral:rRNA from 1 species
UACGUAGGGUGCGAGCGUUAAUCGGAAUUACUGGGCGUAAAGCGUGCGCAGGCGGUUUAGUAAGACAGGCGUGAAAUCCCCGGGCUUAACCUGGGAACUGCGCUUGUGACUGCUAAGCUAGAGUAUGGAAGAGGGGGGUGGAAUUCCACGUGUAGCAGUGAAAUGCGUAGAGAUGUGGAGGAACACCGAUGGCGAAGGCAGCCCCCUGGGCCAAUACUGACGCUCAUGCACGAAAGCGUGGGGAGCAAACAGG